rnacentral:rRNA from 1 species
AUGAGAUUAUGUAAUUCCAUCUGCAUUUCAACGGGAGUAGCAUAUUCUGGUAGCCAAGAGCUUUUGGAAACAUCAAUGAUCAAGGAGGUCGCCAGCAGAGGUAGCAGAGGUGCUCAUGAGACAUCACACUCGAAGAUCUUACUUAUCCAGUUCCUCCAGGGAAAGAAAGAUGGCGCUGGCAAAACAGAAAAUGUGGAGCAGGUGGCCAAAGAGGAAGAAAAAGAGAAAAAAGUGAUGUUCCAGACAAUCAAGAUCAACAAGAUGGGAGCAAAGAAUGAUGAUGUGCAUACAGUGCGAAUAUCAUACAAUUAG